rnacentral:rRNA from 1 species
GUUUCCUACGGGACGCAGCAGUAGGGAAUCUUCCACAAUGGGCGAAAGCCUGAUGGAGCAACGCCGCGUGGGUGAAGAAGGUCUUCGGAUCGUAAAACCCUGUUGUUAGAGAAGAAAGUGCGUGAGAGUAACUGUUCACGUUUCGCCGGUCUCUAACCAGAAAGCCACGGCUAACUGCGUGCCAGCAGCCGCGGUAAUACGUAGGUGGCAAGCGUUAUCCGGAUUUAUUGGGCGUCAAGGGAACGCAGGCGGU